GGAAAGUGGACUCCACACUGAACUUUAUUGCUCACAAUGAUCAUUUCAACACAUCCUGCAUUGAUCCCUUGUAGGUGGGAGACUGUACAACUG